rnacentral:rRNA from 1 species
ACUCCUACGGGAGGCAGCAGUAGGGAAUCUUCCACAAUGGGCGCAAGCCUGAUGGAGCAACACCGCGUGAGUGAAGAAGGGUUUACGGCUCGUAAAGCUCUGUUGUUAAAGAAGAACACGUAUGAGAGUAACUGUUCAUACGUUGACGGUAUUUAACCAGAAAGUCACGGCUAACUACGUGCCAGCAGCCGCGGUAAUACGUAGGUGGCAAGCGUUAUCCGGAUUUAUUGGGCGUAAAGAGAGUGCAGCGGUUUUCUAAGUCUGAUGUGAAAGCCUUGGCUUAACCGGAGAAGUGCAUCGGAAACUGGAUAACUUGAGUGCAGAAGAGGGUAGUGGAACGUUACCACGUAGUGUUAGACGGUGGGUAA